UACGUAGGUGGCAAGCGUUGUCCGGAAUUAUUGGGCGUAAAGCGCGUGCAGGCGGUCCUUUAAGUCUGAUGUGAAAGCCCACGGCUCAACCGUGGAGGGUCAUUGGAAACUGGGGGGACUUGAGUGCAGAAGAGGAGAGUGGAAUUCCACGUGUAGCGGUGAAAUGCGUAGAGAUGUGGAGGAACACCAGUGGCGAAGGCGACUCUCUGGUCUGUAAACUGACGCUGAGGCGCGAAAGCGUGGGGAGCAAACAGG
rnacentral:rRNA from 1 species